UAUAAUUCCCACAUCUUAAACUUCGAUAAUUCCAAUAUCAAUUUAUGCACAUACAUUUCUCGAAAAAGAAACAAAUACAAGCUUUAAGAAAGGAAAACAAAAAAUUCUCAUGUGUCCAUAAGAAGCGGCUAAGAUCAACAUACAUCUUGACCAGUACCAUCUUAUCCUGGGCGUACCCACAAAGGACAUGAACUAAAUCCUAGGUCUGCAGUUGCAUCUACUACAUAUUUUUAAUUGUUCUAAAAAAUAUAAGACACAAUGCACCUGUGAUCUUCAAGAAUGGAAAUCUGAUAUGUCGUUAAAACGUGUGCAGCAUGUCUAACUCGGCAGGAUCUACAGAGAUAAUCAUUUUCUCAGAACAUGGAAGACAAUUUUCUGCAACUGAUCGACAGCUCAUGGAAUACCACAUGUUACAAGGCAGCAACCUGGAUACAAUACUGCCUCGUCUUAAGCAGCCUCUCCAGAUCUCCAAGCCGUGCCUUCUCCACAGAUAACCCCUCCCCAGAUUCUUGCAAUGAGGAGAUUGAUGUUAUUGGACAAAACACAACCAAAUCUAUUAGUAUAUGUGGAGAGAAAGAAACACGUACCUGCAUUUGUAGUUGUGCAGCGCGGCAAGAGCCCUAGAGAGCAGUAGCACCGGCUCGAUCUGUACCUAAAGCUGAUCCUUUUGCCGCUAGAUGCCCUCGGUGGCCUCCCUCCUCCCGACGACGAGCUCGUAUGGCCGCGCCCGCUGCAGCUCGAGCCGCCACCUCAUCUCCAUGCAUGUUGUACGGUGGUGGACGCCUCCGCGGCCCUGGCAUGGCCUGCAUCCCUCUUACUCGCCUUGUCUGAAUCAGCAGCGGCCCCGGCUACCACGGGAGAUUCCUCACUCCCGCUUGGCAACCUCCUCCUCGCAGCCAUUGCGGCGUCUCCUGCUGGUCAGGAAGCGCCUGUGUCUGUGUGACUUGCUCCCGUCACAUGGCCCCAGGGUCUUCCUUAUCAUCAUCGUUGUCGCUUGGCCGCAAUACCUGCCUUCCCCGCCAGACCGGAAUGUCGGAUCUGAAUUCACCGUGGGGUUUGGGAGAGGGGACUCAGGGGAGACGGGGCGGCGGGGUAGAUGGGAGCAGA
rnacentral:lncRNA from 1 species